UUCAUUCAUUCAUUCCUUGUCUGUCGCAGCAACUAGACAGCAAGUCUUCUGACUCUAUCGUCAUUCAAUAAUUCGUGG
rnacentral:ribozyme from 1 species